UACAGAGGUCCCAAGCGUUGUUCGGAUUCACUGGGCGUAAAGGGUGCGUAGGUGGUGAGGUAAGUCGGAUGUGAAAUCUCCGGGCUCAACCCGGAAAUGGCAUUGGAAACUACCUUGCUGGAGGAUUUGAGGGGGGAUUGGAAUACUUGGUGUAGCAGUGAAAUGCGUAGAUAUUAGGAGGAAUACCUGGGGCGAAGGCGGCCUCCUGGGCCAUUCUUGACACUGAGACGCGAAAGCGUGGGUAGCAAACAGG
rnacentral:rRNA from 1 species